UACGGAGGGGGCCAGCGUUGUUCGGAAUUAUUGGGCGUAAAGGGCGCGUAGGCGGCCGGAUAAGUCUGAUGUGAAAGCUCCCGGCUUAACUGGGAAAUUGCAUCGGAAACUGAUCGGCUGGAAGGUGGGAGAGGGUAGCGGAAUUCCCGGUGUAGUGGUGAAAUGCGUAGAUAUCGGGAGGAACACCAGUGGCGAAAGCGGCUACCUGGCCCAUUCUUGACGCUGAGGCGCGAAAGCUAGGGGAGCAAACGGG
rnacentral:rRNA from 1 species